UUUUUCACCAUUCUGUUGUUCGAUGUGAACAUUAACUAAAUCUCUUGACCGAUAUUUGCACGAUUUAAUGCAUUCUGCUGCUGACACAUGACUGGAUAAAUGACCAGGUGUACAAGUUUUCCUAAUAAUGGAGUUGGAGGUGAUAUCUUAGUGAGGUAUUGGAGAUAUUGGAGUUCAAAUCCCAGCCACACCAAGCUGCCACUUCGGGCCCCUGAGCAAAGCCCUUAACCCAACAGCUUCUCAGUUGUAUGAAGGAGAUAAAUAUCACAGACGUCCAAUCCACUAAAGUUAACGUAGCUGAACCCGAGAUGCCUUGCGUGUAUUUCCCCUGCGGCAAGCCCUGAAAAACAUACACAGCGAAGGGCGAAGCAGACCGGACAAGGCGACGGCAGAACUCUCUGCUGUUCAGUGUACAAACAAAUCAUCAACCAUCAAUCAUCAAAUCAUCAAUCAUCAAAUGCCAGAAAAAAGAAAAGUCCAGUCUAU